UACGGGGGGAGCAAGCGUUGUUCGGAUUUACUGGGCGUAAAGGGCGCGUAGGCGGCCACCGCAAGUCGACUGUGAAAUCUCUGGGCUUAACCCAGAACGGUCAGCCGAUACUGCGGGGCUAGAGUGCAGAAGGGGCAACUGGAAUUCUCGGUGUAGCGGUGAAAUGCGUAGAUAUCGGGAGGAACACCGGUGGCGAAGGCGGCCCCCUGGUUGGAUACUGACGCUGAGACGCGAAAGCGUGGGGAGCAAACAGG
rnacentral:rRNA from 1 species